GCCUGGUGGCUCAGUCGGUUAAGCAUCUGACUUCAGCUCAGCUCAGGUCAUGAUCUCAUGGUUCGUGGGUUCAAGCCCCACAUCAGGCU
rnacentral:tRNA from 1 species